CAAUUCUAUAUACAGCACUGCAGGACAUGCUACAAAACUGCAACACACUUGAAGACACAGAGGAACACGGAAAAUACAACAAACGUGGUGCUUCUGAUGUCUGCCAAUACUACCGGUUACUAGUCUUCCAUUCAAAAAUGAAUACUCUUAGACAACCCCUGUUUCCUCAUGGAAACUUGAGCUCUCAGCCCAUGUGUUAUGUGUCUUUACUG